rnacentral:lncRNA from 1 species
GCAACUAUAUGGCCUUCAACAAUGAGAAAAAUCCAUGCAUGGUUUGGAUAAAGAAUACAAACAGGGAAUGCGUCAAAGAGACACUGGGCAAGCCAACCCAACCAAAGAGCAGUAAACAGCCCAACGUCACCAAUGGGUCGGGUCUUCAACGCAGCGAAAUAAUCUUGCACCCUGAAGCUGGAUUCAGCUUGCCCCAGGACAAGAAUUUAUACAAUAUAUUUCUAUGAUGUUUUUUUAAACAAUUUGUUUUUCAUAUAUAUGCUAUGCUGGUGACUAAAAAUUGAUAUGAUUUUGAUAUUUACUUUCUUUUGUAGACAAACCAAUGAUGAUUUAUGGACACAGAUUUUAUGUGUAAAAUGUGAAGAAUUAAAAAAAAAUGUAAUACUCGGGAUUUUCAUUGUAUCAUAAACAUAAACAAGAUUCAAACUGAAAGAUUUUUUUUUUAAUUACUGAAGCAUCAAUCAGUAUAAAUAGAUCACAGUACCAACAAUGUUGGGUAUACAUUAUUUUGACAGCCGCCACAAAGCGAAAAAAAUACACAGACGUAUAUUGAUUAAAUGUAAC